GCCGAGGUUCGCUGCUUCCGAGCUGUUCCGGCCAGAACCACAGCGACUGACCGCGAGCUGCACGGCGCUUUCGGUCGGUUCCUUUGCCCGGGAGCCCCGAGCUAACGGAGCGGCCCGGCAGCUCUCGCGAGAGUGGCCGAUGUGGCCGUUGCCGGGCCAACGGCUGUGGACCCACGAGCCUUGCCUUAGAGAAAGCGGAGAUACCGUGUGACUGGGAAUGAAGGUGCUCCAGCUUCCCCUCUGAGUUCCAGGACUGAAACUCCGGCAGAUCACAUGGAUAUGUCAUGGCUUUUUAGUUCCUUUGAGAGCUGCCAGCUCAAAGGCCAAAUGUCGGCCAGGUCUGUCUGCAGGUGUGAGAGCGUAGUCCUGUGCGUGUAUGCCCUUUCCUUGCACGAUCCACUGGUAUGCUCCACUAUUCAGUGAUGCCGUUGUGCACGGAAACUUUUCAUGGGUCUUUGGUUGCAGAAGUGCCCCCAGGGAGGGCCUUGCUGGUUUCUCGGCUCCUUCCUGCGAUGGAGACCAGUUGGAAUCCCAUGGGUCCGCAAAGAGGAAACAGAGGAAAGGAUACACCUAGAAGAGGGAAGUACUACUGGUGGUCAUCCCGUGUCCUAAAGGAACCUGUGAAGAAAAUGGAGAAGGCAGCGCAUGGUGGGACUAAAGGGACUGACCAAGAGACUGUGCAGAAGGAGCCAUUGCAGGAAAGCAGCAGUGACACACGGCCAGUCUCUGAUAGAAAAACACAGGCAGAACAAGCAGCUGGAUUGCCAGGGGUGGAUGUUGGGAAAAUCACAACGGCCGCUGUUGGCAAAGAGCUGCGAAAACACCACAUCCCAGUGAUUGCUGUGGUCUCCGCUGUGCUGCUGUCUGUGCUGAUGCUGGCCUGUGUUCCUAUGCUGUGGAUGUGGAAAAAAUAUCUGGCACGCAAGACAGAGCGGACAGCUGCAAGACAAGCUGACUGGGAGAGAGAUCAAAACAGAGAUGAAGGCAGAGCGGAGCUGGGGGAGGCUGCAAAGGAGGAUGUCCUCGACCAAGGAAAAAUCAUCUCCAGGGCAUUCUCCUGGUCCUUUGAAGCAGAAUUUGCUGACCUGUGCAACAGAAUCAGAGCAGACCCCUCCCUUCAGCCCACGCAUCCCAGCAGCUCUCCUACUGUCAACGUCUCUUCCCUCAGUAGCUGCAGCUCUCAGGAUACCCCUGAGCCAUCCAGUGCCCCUGUUACCGGUGCCAAGAAGGCUCGGGUUCAUUGAAAGGUCCCACUUUGUGAUCAAUAAAGACAUUCCAUUCAAAAGCUGCUGCUGUGACCAUUUCCAUUGAGUUAUAGGGCAUAGGGCUGGGGCCAGCACUUGGUGCAAGGGAAGCAGUCGGAGAGCUGCAUGCCAGGGAG
rnacentral:lncRNA from 1 species